rnacentral:rRNA from 1 species
UACGUAGGGGCAAGCGUUGUCCGGAUUUACUGGGCGUAAAGAGCGUGUAGGCGGCCUGGUAGGUCAGCUGUGAAAACUGGAGGCUCAACCUUCAGAGGUCGACCGAAACCAUCUGGCUAGAGUCCGGGAGAGGAGCAGGAAUUCCUGGUGUAGCGGUGAAAUGCGCAGAUAUCAGGAGGAACACCAGCGGCGAAGGCGCUGCUCUGGGCCGGUACUGACGCUGAGGAGCGAAAGCGUGGGGAGCAAACAGG